CCCUGCCGUCUAGAGGAGGCUUGGGUUCCACAGCCAGCCUGGGAAGAGGCUGCAGUGUUGGCUACACACCUCAUCAUGUCAGCUGGAGUCUGGGAGGCCUCUAGUGUUGGAGCCGGGAGUUGUCCACCAGGAGGGUGAGAGAAAUGCUGUUCCGUCCCGGAGUGAAUGUGACUUCUAGCUCAGCCUCUGUUUACUGAAGUGAAACCAAGACCCAGUAAAAGUGAGGGGCUUGCAAGAGUCCUGAGCUUUGGACAGAGAAAUAAAGGAGCGGACACAGAAUGCACAGGAAAGCAAGGUACAUAAAACCAACUGCUCACUUGCCUAAAAUCUCAAUACUCUCCCCAGAAAGCCCAUGACCUAUAAAGAGGAAGAAUACUCCCAUUGUCGCCUAGUGACUGAGCACAUACACAUGCCAGACACGGCCAUGCUGUGUGGGGAAUUAGAGUUGGAUAAAAGAAGUUCCUUGGCCACCUAGAGAAGCCCAGCACUCAGUGAAAGAACCAGACAUGGACAUGAAUAACUAUAAUACAUGGCAGAAAAUACAACCAUCACGAGAAAAAUGCAAACCAAGAGCUUUUGGAGACAGAGGAGGGAAGAAGCGACUUAUUCCCCAAAGGGAGGCUGGAGAAAGGAGCUGAACUGUGGCAGGAGGCAGGGGAUUAGCCCUGUUGGUGGUGCUCACCUAACCUCGGAACCCUGCUUUCUACCCACAGUCCCACAUAAACUGCCGUGGUGGUGUGGACCCACAGUCUGACUACUCUGGAUGGAAGCAGGAAAACUGGAAGCUGAAGGCCAACCUGAGUUCCACAAAACCCUGCAUUAAAAAAAAAAGAAAGAAAGAAAGCAAAAGGAUGGGGCUGGGGAUUUAGCUCAGUGGUAGAGCGCUUGCCUAGGAAGCGCAAGGCCCUGGGUUCGGUCCCCAGCUCCAAAAAAAAGAACCAAAAAAAAAAAAAAAAAGAAAGAAAGAAAGAAAAAAAAAAGAAAGCAAAAGGAUGAGGCAUUGUAGUACAGGCAGAGGUUAGCUGUGUCAGGAACCACAAGAAAGAAUACUCCAGGUAGAGGGAAGGGUGUGAGGAUGGACAGCAUCUGGAAAGUGUUGGUAACUGAAUAAACAUAGUUAAAACCGAGGGGCUUACGACACCCAGGUGUUGCUGUAGUUUCCGUGUCUGCUGGCUGGGGCCACCUUGGUCCCUGUCCUUCAGUCAUCUCACACAGGCCUUCCUCUAGCAGGGUCACACUGGAGCCCCCGCCAGGAAGAUCCAGCAACAAAUGACCAGGGAACAGCAACCACCAUCAAGUGUAAAAACCCCUAGGGAGGUGCUAGGUCACAGCUGAACUUCCCAGCCCAGGUCAGAACUUCUCAUUGGCUGUGGCAACCAUUUAGACCAUGGCAACUCACAACCCAAUCCUCCCAGCCUGGACCACAUGGUAACCUUUUCUCCUCUCUUUGUCUGGAAGCAGCUUCUUUUACAAAAGUGCUGCUGUCAGGAUGGCUCCGGAAGAUGGGUCUAAUGCUUGACUCCAGGCAUGCCAUGUAGGAACUCAUGUGUCCCCACACUUUCCAUGAAUUGUUCUUAUUGUGCAAAUAACACAGUGGUGAGAAAGAAAACUCAACUCACAAACGAAAGAAGAGCAGCCGCUCGUGUGUGUGUGUGUGUGUGUGUGUGUGUGUGUGUGAGCACAUGCGUCUGCAUGCAUGUGCGAGUGUGAGUCUGUAUGUGUGUGUGUGUGUUCCUCUUUGCCCUCCACCGUCCAGGAAUAGCUUCUGCUUUCACUUGUGGCACUUGCACACUUGCACACUCUAUGUUCUCUUUUUAUUGCCCAGCAUCAUAUCAAUGUGGCCUCUCUUAGUUUUCUAUCCACUGCUAUCCACACAAGUUUUCCCUGAGACCACACCAGGCAUUAAUCCCACCACUUAGGAAGCUGAAGCAGGAGGGUGGCUAGAUUGAAGCCAGACUAGCCUACAUAAUAGGGCACUGUCUCAAAAAAAUAAAACAAAACAUAAUGUGAAGCUAGAAGAGGGAUAUGAAGGAGUGGCCUGGAAGAAAUCGGAGCAAUCAUAAUAUGUGUAUGAAAAUCCUCCAAGAAUAAACAGAUGUAUUAAGAAGACGUCCCACAGGGCUGGAGAGAUGGCUCAGCGGUUAAGAGCACCGACUGUUCUUCCAGAGGUCCUGAGUUCAAUUCCCAGCAACCACAUGGUGGCUCACAACCAUCUGUAAUGGGAUCUGAUGCCCUCUUCUGGUGUAUCUGAAGACAGCUACAGUGUACUUAUAUAUAAUAAAUGAAUAAAUCUUAAAAAAAAAAAAAGAAGACGUACCACA